rnacentral:sRNA from 1 species
GCCAGGUGUGGUGGCUCACACCUGUAAUCCCAGCACUUUGGGAGGCUGAGGCAGGUGGAUCGCCUGAGGUCAGGAGUUCAAGAUCUGCCUGGCCAACAUGGCGAAACCCUGUCUCUA